rnacentral:misc_RNA from 1 species
UUUCCGUAGGUGAACCUGCGGAAGGAUCAUUCUUGAAAUACGUAUUUAGCGUUCCGUACUACCACGUUGUUUUUGUGAGCCUUUUGCGUCGACUUGAUGAUGUUCGAGGCCAAGUGUCUGCUAAACUUUGACUUGUGUAUGUUUAAUUUAUUACGAGUCAGUAAUAAAAAUAUUAACAACACCAAGUGAUGAACCAGUUCUCGGAAUAUUGUACUCCAAUGAAAUAAAGCUGUGAACAACGGAGAUCUAGGCUCUUGCAUUGAUGAAGAAUACAGCAGA